AGCUCCAAUAGCGUAUAUCAAUGUUGCUGCGGUUAAAAAGCUCGUAGCUGGAACUCACUAUGGAGUAUUGCGGUUCGCUACCGCGGGGACAGUACUUUCGGGGAAAUCCUCGUUUCGGUUAGCCCGCCUCCUAGUUAAACUCGGCCGUCCCGGUGAGAGUGCCCUUGACUGGGUGUUUUCGUCGGAUGGCGCGUUCACUUUGAAAAAAUUAGAGUGCUUAAAGCAGGUCCUCGAUACCUGAAUAGUGGUGCAUGGAAUGAAAGAACAGGACUUCGGUUCCGUUCUUUUUGUCGGUCUUUUCCGAACUGAAGUAAUGAUUAAAAGGAACAGACGGUGUCAUUCGUAUUGUAGCGCUAGAGGUGAAAUUCUUGGACCGCUACAAGACGACCUACUGCGAAGG
rnacentral:rRNA from 1 species